rnacentral:rRNA from 1 species
UGGGGAAUAUUGCACAAUGGGCGAAAGCCUGAUGCAGCGACGCCGCGUGAGCGAAGAAGUAUUUCGGUAUGUAAAGCUCUAUCAGCAGGGAAGAAAAUGACGGUACCUGACUAAGAAGCCCCGGCUAACUACGUGCCAGCAGCCGCGGUAAUACGUAGGGGGCAAGCGUUAUCCGGAUUUACUGGGUGUAAAGGGAGCGUAGACGGCAUAGUAAGUUUGAAGUGAAAACCUGUGGCUCAACCAUAGGACUGCUUUGAAAACUACUAAGCUAGAGUGUCGGAGAGGUAAGUGGAAUUCCUAGUGUAGCGGUGAAAUGCGUAGAUAUUAGGAGGAACACCAGUGGCGAAGGCGGCUUACUGGACGAUAACUGACGUUGAGGCUCGAAAGCGUGGGGAGCAAACAGGAUUAGAUACCCGUGUAGUCC